CCAGACUCCUACGGGAGGCAGCAGUGGGGAAUAUUGCGCAAUGGGCGAAAGCCUGACGCAGCGACGCCGCGUGGAGGAAGAAGGUCUUCGGAUUGUAAACUCCUGUCCUUGGGGACGAUAAUGACGGUACCCAAGGAGGAAGCACCGGCUAACUACGUGCCAGCAGCCGCGGUAAAACGUAGGGUGCAAGCGUUGUCCGGAAUUACUGGGUGUAAAGGGAGCGCAGGCGGAUUGACAAGUUGGGAGUGAAAACUACGGGCUCAACCCGUAACCUGCUUUCAAAACUGUCAGUCUUGAGUGGUGUAGAGGUAGGCGGAAUUCCCGGUGUAGCGGUGGAAUGCGUAGAUAUUAGGAGGAACACCGGUGGCGAAGGCGGCCUGCUGGACUGCAACUGACGUUGAGGCCCGAAAGCGUGGGGAGCAAACAGGAUUAGAUACCCCCGUACG
rnacentral:rRNA from 1 species